CUCUCAUUUCAAAACAUUUCAAAAUGCCCGCUUCCCUGCUCCUCUCUCUCUCUCUCUCUGGCGAUUCCAGAUCUGGAUCUAGGGUUUUUCUCCAUCACGUUUCUACUACUCCAAUUCCUCAUGGAAAUCGUUGGAAUCAAACUCAAGUCUAGGUUUUGAACUUCACGGAGAGUUGAAGAUGAACCACCUGCAAUCAAAACGAUCUUCAUCUGUCGCUCUUCUUCUUUCAUGUGUAACGAAGCUUCCGUAAGAAGAAACAUGGAGAAAUCUAAUGAACUUUUUGUGCAAGUUCGAAAGUCGCUGCCACUCAGUUUCUGUUCUUGUAAUAAAGUCGUAUCUGAGUUUUAUGAGAUGCUCAGUAAAUUGUUCAGGGUUUUUAUUAUGGAUUCCCCACCAAUUGUCGUCACAAGUGAAGGCUUUUUUUUACCACGGAUUCUCCUUCGAUUGAUUAUCUUGAAUAUUUGAGUAUUCUGUUAUAUCCAUGGCCUUUGAGUUCAGGUGGCUACCCUCUUGAUUACCAGCACUCAUGGUAUGGUGAAUAGCCGUAGACUAUGCUUUCACACAAAUAAAUUCCACUCUAUCCUUAUCCAGGAUAUCGGAUCCUUAUAGCUUGGAAUUGUGGUUAAAGGUAAUGUACUCUUGCAGUGUUUGAAUUUGGAUAUUUCUGUCAAAUGUUUCUUCGUGGGAUCCAGAGUUGAAGGAGUUUGAUCUGGAGAAUAGAUGGUAUUGGUAUACAGUUUAAUGCAGUCAUCGAAAAAUAGGCGAUAUGAGAAAUUAGGUUGAUUCUAUAAUUGAGAUUAUGGUCACGAUAGUCAAUUUGAGACAUUUUUCCUUCCUUAGAAAUUGGAGUUACUGGUUAAUAGUGCCCAUCAGAACUUGGAUGUGCAUAGUCACUGCUACCCCUUACAUAAAAUAGUUGAUGCAGCAAGAUUAACAUCAAGCCUGGGCACCACAUCAAGGAGUUGCAGAUCUCUUUCACUGAGUAUGCUCUGCCGUACCUCUCCCGGCCUCUAAUAUGUUUUCUUAGUUGUUUGACUUGAUGUUGACAUUGGCUCAGGUGUGCAUGAUUCUAUAAUACAUGUGAAAGUGUUUGUUUGUGCAUUCAAUUUGUUAGAAGAUCAGAGCCAGGUUGAAUCAGGACCAUUGAGUUCGAUGAAUUCAGGUCCGUACGGAACGUUCAUCGGCGUCUAUGACGGACAUGGUGGACCGGAGACGUCAAGAUUCGUUAACGAGAAUCUGUUCGCUAAUCUCAAGAGAUUUGUGUCUGAGGAUCAAGAAAUGUCUGCGAAUGUUAUCAAGAAAGCGUUUUUAGCGACGGAGGAUGAGUUUCUUUCGGUUGUAAGAGAACAAUGGCGGAUAUGCCCAUAAAUAGCAUCUGUGGGAAUGUGUUGUUUGGAGGGUCUUAUUUGUAACGGGUUGAUUUACGUUGCGAAUGCUGGAGAUUCGAGAGUGGUGUUAGGGAGAGCUGAUCGAGAAUGCAGGCGGUGAACGGUUAAAAAGCCAGAAGUCGAAGGUUACCAAAAUUUAAAAUGACAUUGAUAAAAACAGUACAGAGAUCAAUCGACACAAAGUUCAAAUAGAAACGGGUCAGAAAAUGUUGAAAAAACUAACGAAUGGGAUUGAGGAAUCAAAGAAGGAGAAAGAUAAACUAAUUGCACAGAAGGAACAUUUGCUUGAAGCGUUUAAAGAGAUAGAGCAGAAAGCGUUCAAGGUUUAGGAUGAUUAUAAGAAGACAGAAGAGCUGAUAGAACAACACAAGGCUGUGCUUGGAGAAGCGAAAUCCAAUUAUGAAACUUGAAGAGGACGGUAGAUUAGUUACGGACAUCUAAGGCUGUUAUCCCAAAAUACAAUGAUUUUAAGCAGCCAAGAGAGAGAUACUGAUCAUGGGCACCAGACAGGUACUGUUUACUUUAUUUUAAGAAAGGUUCAUUUGCCGAAUGGUGAAGAUGUUGUCUGACCCAUGGGUCACCCACCAGCUCCGCAUAAUUUGGAUCUCAUUUUGGUCUCAGGUUCGUUCACCUCCUCCUCUUUGGUCCGUUUCAAAUAAAGGUUGACUUUUGAAGUUCAAAAGCAAUCUUGUUUGACGUUAAAUUCAAAUUUAUAUCUAGGUAUAGUGAAUUCUCGAUCAAGUGGAUACAUAAUCUGACCCAACCUGAUUCGUAAUAACGUGUUGGUUCAAAAUACGUAAUUUUAGAUAUGGGUCAGGUUAGGUUGACACGAAACACUAUGUCCAAAUUUCUUUUAAUAUUCUUUUGAGUAAUUAGUAUCAAAUGUGAUUACAAAAAUAAUAUUAUUUCAACCGUAGUCUAAUUCUUUUAAUAGAAAUAUUUAGGAUGUUUUAUACAUUAAAACUACAUUUUGGGCGCCUUUUGACCCAUAUUUUUCUCUUAUUUGUAUGGCUCGUUAGAGAUAUAACAUAACUCCGAUUGACUUGUUUAUAAGUAAGUGUAAGAUAUGUGUUUAUUCAAAUCGUGCAAUACACGAGUCUUUAAAAGAUGAAACUAUUUUAUUACUUAGUAUAUAAAAUUAUAUUUAUCAACCCGUGUAAUAUACGGGUUUCUAACCUAGUUUAAACAUAUUUAAAUUAAUAAAAAAAAAUCUAAUCGAACAACAAUAACAACAAUAUUUUCUUUUUCAGUUUCUAUACAUCUCCUACGUCCUCCCUACCCACACAUCUUCACAUAUAAGCAAAGAAAAAAACCCCAAAAAAAACAUUUAAAAUUAAUUAGAAAACUGAAAUAUCUAAGAAUAUAUAACAACAACGGUCAUUAACACAACAAAAAAAUAUUAUUUCCCUUUAGAAAUAAAAAUAACAAACUAUCAAAUGUAUUUUACAAAUACACACCCAAAAUCAUUCUACUUUUACCAAAUAUAUAUAUAUACACAUAUAUAGGUUCAGGAUUUAAAGAAAAUGGGGGAAAGUGUGAGAACGAGGAGAACGGUUAUGGAUCGUCAGAUCAAAACAAUUCAUGGACUAGAUUGCGCGGGGGCGUUUUCGUAAAUAACAUCAAUUUUAAUAUGUGGGACGCGCUUCAUUAAGGGUAAAAUGGUAUUUUACCGCUCAAAUUCAAAAGCCAACAAAAAUGAGAACACGCCAUUCAAAAAAAUAAAACGCCAUUAAAUACAAAACGCCAAAAAUUAGUGAUAAAACGCGUUGGAGAUUACAGGAAGAGGAAA